UACGGAGGGGCAAGCGUUAUCCGGAAUUACUGGGCGUAAAGGGUGUGCAGGCGGGGUGGCAAGUGGUGUAUGAAAUCUCCCAGCUUAACUGGGAUAGGUUAUGCCAGACUGCUACUCUAGAGGACGAGAGAGGGGCGUGGAAUUCCGGGUGUAGUGGUGAAAUGCGUAGAGAUCCGGAGGAACCCCAGAGGCGAAGGCGACGCCCUGGCUCGUACCUGACGCUCAGCCACGAAAGCAUGGGGAGCGAACGGGAUUAGAUGACCCGGUA
rnacentral:rRNA from 1 species